rnacentral:rRNA from 1 species
GAUGAACGCUGGCGGCGUGCCUAAUACAUGCAAGUCGAGCGAACGGACGAGAAGCUUGCUUUUCUGAUGUUAGCGGCGGACGGGUGAGUAACACGUGGAUAACCUACCUAUAAGACUGGGAUAACUUCGGGAAACCGGAGCUAAUACCGGAUAAUAUUUUGAACCGCACGGUUCAAAAGUGAAAGACGGUCUUGCUGUCACUUAUAGAUGGAUCCGCGCUGCAUUAGCUAGUUGGUAAGGUAACGGCUUACCAAGGCAACGAUGCAUAGCCGACCUGAGAGGGUGAUCGGCCACACUGGAACUGAGACACGGUCCAGACUCCUACGGGAGGCAGCAGUAGGGAAUCUUCCGCAAUGGGCGAAAGCCUGACGGAGCAACGCCGCGUGAGUGAUGAAGGUCUUCGGAUCGUAAAACUCUGUUAUUAGGGAAGAACAUAUGUGUAAGUAACUGUGCACAUCUUGACGGUACCUAAUCAGAAAGCCACGGCUAACUACGUG